GGCGGAGCUGCGGCUAGGGUGCCAAAGCUGAGUGAGGGUCUAAGACAACAACGCCCAAGUCUACUCCCCCAAGAUAAGCCACAGCCACUUUUGGGGCUGCCCUGACUCCCACAGAGCCAGAUAGCCGUCUUGAAGGUGCCUGUUCAAGCAAAAGUCGUGUAACGUGUUUGAAAGGACGACCAAGGAAGAAAUCGGGGUUUGGUUCUGGUUUCCCAAGUUCCACGUGUGGGAAUACAAGGGCAGAGGUGGUCCUGAGAAAGACGGCGAUCGUGGGGGUGGGUCUGUGCAACUUUCUCUUUCACUGGUUGUAGCAGUUUGAUAGAAUUGACGAAUUCCAAAAAGAACUAUUGGAUGAUGCUUGUAAUCUGAUCUGUACCCGGGCAUGAUUGAGUUAUGAUUAGGGCGUUGCGUCCCCACCCCUUGGUGGGUGGGGACUUAGAUAAAAGGCAUGAAAGGACAGAGUUGAGGGCUUUUAAUGUUGGGGUUUGAUGCUGAAGACUUAAGCUGGAGCCCCAGGAAGUAAGCUCACAGAGGAAACAGAAGCAAGUCCCAGAAAGAGAGGAACCCUGAGCCCAGGAAAAAGAAGCCUGAGGAAGGGAGGAACCCAGGAAGCCUGAACCCUGGCAGAUGUCGGCAGCCAUCUUGCUCCAACAUGUGAAAAUAGAGUUUGGUGAGGGAAGUACCUUACACUUUAUGGCCGGGGAUCUGUAAGCUCCUACCCCAAAUAAAUACCCUUUAUAAAAACCACCCCAUUUCUGGUAUUUUGCAUCAGCACCUCUUUGGCUGACUAAUAUAUCCAUACCUGUCCAAUAAAGACUUUAGGUGUGGUGAGUGCCCAG
rnacentral:lncRNA from 1 species